UACGUAGGGGGCAAGCGUUGUCCGGAUUCAUUGGGCGUAAAGAGCGUGUAGGCGGCCAGGUAGGUCGGUUGUGAAAACUGGAGGCUCAACCUUCAGAGGUCGACCGAAACCAUCUGGCUAGAGUCCGGGAGAGGAGAGUGGAACUCCUGGUGUAGCGGUGAAAUGCGCAGAUAUCAGGAAGAACACCCGUGGCGAAAGCGGCUCUCUGGGACGUUACUGACGCUGAGGCGCGAAAGCGUGGGGAGCAAACAGG
rnacentral:rRNA from 1 species